AUGUCGAGUCGCGCGCGAUUUGUGUCGGCAACCUUUUCGUUCAAUUGCUGUUGACGUUUUGAUUUCUGCGUUCAUUGAAUUUCAAUAUCUGUCAGUGGUGAUGCAAAACAGUGUUUACAAUAUUGGCGCAUCUGUUUCUAUGAACGAACGAGAUGAAAUGCCAUCAAUAUGCAAGUUCUCUUGAUAUACCGUCCGGGAAGAGUGCUGAAUUGGUCAAGGAUGCGUAUAAUAUUGGAGAUUGAGCAAGAAGCACAGAAUCCGCUGGAUGUGUUUUUUCCAAGUUAACAGCAAUUGUUGCUGUCUGUUGUUAUCAGCGAGCCGAAAUAAGUAUGUUAGAUAGCCUAAGAUUGGAUAAUUCUGGUCAGAUUUCCCGGGAAACCGUUAUCAUCCCUGAUUCUCGAUUGUACCAUGUGCGAAGGUGCGGUCUGCGAAUAUGUGACCCCUGGGAGAAUUUUUCAUAUUUAGCGUUAGUGUAUACAUAAAUCAUUCUUUAGAAGAAUUGUUGAAAAUUUUUCUGUUUUCUUUAUAUAAUUCUUUUCGGCUGUAUUCUUAUUUCAAUGAUUUUUUUAUGUUUGUAAAUAUUGUUUGCUGGUUUGUGGUAUUACUCCAACGAAAAAUAAAUAUAUACAUCCAUUUUUUAGAAAUA